CAGCAUCGACUUCAGCCUGAAUCAUUCUUCAGCAACUUUGCGCUUUUUUUUCCCCCGCACGGUGGAGUGAAGAUUGGCAAGAAGCUUGCCAUCACGUGAAGAACAGAGAAAUUUGCAAGGGCUUCUCAGUUCUUUGGGCCAUGUUCGAGCCACUUGUGAUGAUUGGCCCUCUGAUCAUCCUGUGUUUCCGAUUUAUACCAUGGUGCCUUGUGACGAUACUGGAGGAGUGAAGGAAUAAAUAUUUGGC